AUUGAACGCUGGCGGCAGGCCUAACACAUGCACGUCGAACGAGUGGCGGACGGGUGAGUAAUGUCUGGGAAACUGCCUGAUGGAGGGGAUAACUACUGGAAAAGGUAGCUAAUACCACAUACCAUCAGAUGUGCCCAGAUGGUAUUAGCUAGGUGGUGGGGUACCGGCUCACCAAGGCGACGAUCCCUAGCUGGUCUGAUAGGAUGACCAGCAACACUGUAACUGAGACACGGUCCAUACUCCUCCGGGAGGCAGCAGUGGGGAAUAUUGCACAAUGGGCGCAAGCCUGAUGCAGCCAGGCCGCGGGUAUUAAGAAGGCCUUCGGGUUGUAAAGUACUUUCAGCGGGGAGGCGUUACCCGCAGAAGAAGCACCGGCUAACUCCGUGCCAGCAGCCGCGGUAAUAC
rnacentral:rRNA from 1 species